UUUGUUUUUUUUUUUUUUUAAAUAUAAUUAGCACCUCUUGCUAUAAGGAAGGGACAUGAAGAAAGCGAGAAGUAUCAUUGUUCUAGAAUUCUAUCACAUAUAAUAAUAUUAGCAAAGAUUUUAAGGUUAUAUAAAAUAUGGUCCAUCAUAAAAUAAUAAAAAAGAAGAGACACACAUAUAUGGCAAGAAACAAUGUGGCACAUGCAAUUACAAUGCUAAUUAUUGUAUUAAUUAGUUUUUCUUUUGAUGGAUUUUUUGACCUAGGUGCGUGUAUGACAAAAUGCAGGAAAAACACUCAGUCUCAGCGUGAUCUUAAAGAGAGGAAAAUAUGCACAAAGGUAUGUGUUACCAAAGAAUGCUUGUCACGGCAUCCGAAUGAUAAAGAGAAGUGGGAGAGAUGCUUUGACAGUCUUUAUGCUCUAUUAAUUAAGAAUUAAAGCUGCUUGAAAUCUGAACCUACUGGCUAUAUGGGGUUUUUUGGAGUUCUCUCAGAUUAUGGUGUUCGUGAUUUGAAAUCUUUAGAAAAUUCCUUCACUGUGAGAUGAUGAUGUGUUGGAUGUUCCUUAUUAUAAAUUAUGACAGAUUCAUUUCAUUUUUUUUUUUAAUCUUGUAAAACUGGACAUUACGGGUAUCUUUUUACU